GUAGAGAUGAGUGAUAUAUGUAAAUGCAUAUACAUACGUAAGUUAUGUAAUUUUUUUUCGUUUUAAGCAUUUUCGUUAUCAGAUUAGGUAAUUUAUCUUCAUUCAUAUGAAUAAUGAAUAUCAAUUUGGCCUUGGAAUGUUAAAAAGCCACUAAAGAUCAAUAGCUGACUGACAUUAGUGUCGUGGGGUACAGAAUUAAAAAAGAGAAUAACAAGGUUUCUAACCUCCUGUUGCAUUCUACUACUGUUAAAAUUUUUAUCAUUAAUACAGAAAAUGUUGCGAACAUAUCAACGCAAAAAGGAGAUAGUGGAUAUCAAAGAUGUUGUUAUCGCUUUUGCAAUUUCGAAUGUACUAGACCGCAAGCUAUCAAUUAAAAAAGCGACUAAUAGUUUAAAGUCACCACCUUUACAACACAAAAUAGAAGGUAAACAAACGAAAACUAAAAAAAAAGAAAAAGACGUAAGAUAUUCAUCGAAAUGUCACACCAAGUACUUACAACAAAACUAGGAACCAAUCAAAUUGACAUAUCAUAUACAUAACAUAUAUCAAGAAAAAAUUCCUCAUAGUCGUACUUUUUAACUCGAUUUAAAAACUUGGUUAAACGCAAGUUAACUGAAACGUUUUUCUCUAAAAAAAAAUAAAGGUUUUGUUCAUGUAUCUCUCAUUGUAUUAAAGUUAAAUAGUCCCGUAAUCAAGAAAACUAAAGAUAGAAAA